rnacentral:rRNA from 1 species
AAAACUUUCAACAACGGAUCUCUUGGUUCUCGCAUCGAUGAAGAACGCAGCGAAAUGCGAUAAGUAGUGUGAAUUGCAGAAUUCCGUGAAUCAUCGAAUCUUUGAACGCACAUUGCGCCUCCUGGUAUUCCGGGAGGCAUGCCUGUUCGAGCGUCAU